UACGGAGGGUGCAAGCGUUGUUCGGAAUUAUUGGGCGUAAAGGGUGCGCAGGCGGCCAAGUGUGUGAGGCGUGAAAGCCUGGAGCUUAACUCCAGAAUUGCACCUCAAACUACAUGGCUAGAGCAUUGGAGAGGGUAGCGGAAUUCACGGUGUAGCAGUGAAAUGCGUAGAUAUGCGGAGGAACACCGAUGGCGAAGGCAAUCCCCUGGACCUGUACUGACGCUCAUGCACGAAAGCGUGGGGGAGC
rnacentral:rRNA from 1 species